rnacentral:rRNA from 1 species
GAUCAUGCUCAGGAUGAACGCUAGCUACAGGCUUAACACAUGCAAGUCGAGGGGCAGCAUGGUCUUAGCUUGCUAAGGCCGAUGGCGACCGGCGCACGGGUGAGUAACACGUAUCCAACCUGCCGUCUACUCUUGGACAGCCUUCUGAAAGGAAGAUUAAUACAAGAUGGCAUCAUGAGUUCACAUGUUCACAUGAUUAAAGGUAUUCCGGUAGACGAUGGGGA